rnacentral:lncRNA from 1 species
GGAAUCUCUCCAGCAGCGAUACCUACUCCCUGGCCCUCCCGCCCCUUCCCUCCGAGCCUGGCCGCAGUCAGAGGAGGGAGCCGGCCGCGAGGUCUGAGGGCCCCCAGCGGCCGCAGCAGCAGCUCACGGGUACUGGAGCCGUUAAAAAAUGACUCAACCAGAAAUCUCAGUGUUCCAGUGGAGUGUGAAGGUGCCAUAAUGGGGCUGCAGAUGGAGGUGGUAAGUAGGAAAAAAGCAGAAGUUGGGGGUAUGGAGCACAGAUCAGCAGAUACCUAAGAGCUGCUAGAGUAGAAGAGAAGAUGCAGGCAGGUGGGAAUUGGAGGAGGGCUAGACCUGUUUCCCAAUGUCCUGCCUAGGGAUCCUUGAGUAAAUCCCAAGGAUCACCUCCCUGGACCAUUUCCCCACAUUGCCUCCUCCUGAGGUCAUUUUAGACUGAGAGACUAGAGACGUAAGUGGUAGGCGUAGGGUGUUCGGGGGACUCAAUAUAUACAGACAUAUAACUUUCUAUGAUAAACCAAUGCCUCAUGCUGGUUCUGUGGAAUACUCAUGAAGGGAACAAGCCCACGGCAUCCAGGGCAACCUAUAUGAGAAGAAGUUAACAGCCCUAAAUUUGAGUUAAGGCUCUACUUCUUGAUCAUGGCCAAGUCACUUUAACUUUGACCUUUAGUCUCUUCAUCACUAUAUAAAGAUGUUAACGAUGACACAGGGGUUUUGUGAGGAUCAGGUAAGAUAAAGGGACAUGAAAGCCCUUUUGUCAACUGAAAAUGCCACUUAAAUGAAAGGCUUUACUGAUAAACAUGAACCAGACUUCCAAAGUAAGAUACUAAUCUGUUCUUCAACAUUGCCUACCUCUUUUACACAUGCUCACAGGAUCAGGUGUCAGGGAGGGAACAUGAGAAUUGAAUAGCGGGCUAUGGACAGGCUUGGAGUAAGAAAGUAGUGGCCAUGCCCAGAAAUGGCCAUGCCCAAAAAUUAGGCCAAACCUAGAGCUCAGCCUGAGCUUAAUCCUCCCCAGCUCAUCCCCAUUAUUUCUCGGAAACAGCUUCCCUCCAAGACAAGAACAUUCCUCCCUUCGUUCCAUCAGCCAUCAAUUGCUGCCCAGGGCUGUAGUCUGCAUUCAGCAAUGAACUGCCACUGAGUAUGUUCUUUAACCCCUCAGGCAGUAGUGGGUAGGAAGUAGAGAAUGAGGAAUAAGUAGAUAAGGGGAAGGCAGCCCCAUCACUACACUGACUCAUGUCUGUCAUUGCUGAACUAGGGAGGAGCCUCGCCUUUCUGAAGCAGAGAAACCAAAUGACUGAGCAAAAGACCAAGACCCUGGAUGGAUACGGGACCUCAGUGGUCAGAACGGGACUGAAGCUCUGACAGGCACAGUGAGAAGAGCGCAGCCCUCAUUGAGGGCAGCAGCGGGAGCAGCCGAGACCUCCUCUUCCACAUAGCCCUGUCCCCUCCGAGGGAGCUGUGAAGAACCAGCAGUCCCUCUUUCAGUUUCUUUGGGCUCCCGGCAGUGGAUAGACUCUAGCACCUUCUUGCCUGUCGGGCUGUUGAGCAGCUUCCAGGAUCACAAAAAAGCAAGAAAGCGAAUUGAGCAGCAGCUUCCAGG